rnacentral:rRNA from 1 species
UACAGAGGUCUCAAGCGUUGUUCGGAUUCAUUGGGCGUAAAGGGCGCGUAGGCGGCGGGGUAAGUCGGGUGUGAAAUCUCAGAGCUCAACUCUGAAACUGCACUCGAUACUGCUCUGCUUGAGGACUGGAGAGGAGACUGGAAUUCACGGUGUAGCAGUGAAAUGCGUAGAUAUCGUAAGGAAGACCAGUGGCGAAGGCGAAUCUCUGGACAAUUACUGACGCUGAGGCACGAAGGCCAGGGGAGCAAACGGG